GGUAGCUGUAGGAGAACCUGUAGCUGG
rnacentral:rRNA from 1 species